AGUUUGGUAGCCUAGUGGUAAGGCUCCCCAGUACUAGUAGGAGGACCCAGGUUUGAUCCCUGGUCUAGCCA